rnacentral:rRNA from 1 species
AGAGUUUGAUCAUGGCUCAGAUUGAACGCUGGCGGUAGGCUUAACACAUGCAAGUCGUGCGAGAAAGUAUCUUCGGAUAUGAGUAGAGCGGCGGACGGGUGAGUAACGCGUAGGAAUCUACCUAGUAGAAGGGGAUAGCCCGGGGAAACCCGGAUUAAUACCGUAUACCUCCUUCGGGAGAAAGAAGGCCUCUCUUUGAAGCUUUCGCUACUAGAUGAGCCUGCGUAAGAUUAGCUUGUUGGUGAGGUAAAGGCUCACCAAGGCGACGAUCUUUAGCUGGUCUGAGAGGACGAUCAGCCACAUUGGGACUGAGACACGGCCCAGACUCCUACGGGAGGCAGCAGUGGGGAAUAUUGGACAAUGGGCGCAAGCCUGAUCCAGCCAUACCGCGUGUGUGAAGAAGGCCUUCGGGUUGUAAAGCACUUUAAGCAGGGAGAAAAAGUUAUAAGUUAAUACCUUAUAACCCUGAUGUUACCUGCAGAAUAAGCACCGGCUAAUUCCGUGCCAGCAGCCGCGGUAAUACGGAAGGUGCAAGCGUUAAUCGGAAUUACUGGGCGUAAAGCGCGCGUAGGUGGUUUGUUAAGUUGGAUGUGAAAGCCCUGGGCUCAACCUAGGAACUGCAUCCAAAACUAACUCACUAGAGUACGAUAGAGGGAGGUAGAAUUCAUAGUGUAGCGGUGGAAUGCGUAGAUAUUAUGAAGAAUACCAGUGGCGAAGGCGGCCUCCUGGAUCUGUACUGACACUGAGGUGCGAAAGCGUGGGUAGCGAACAGGAUUAGAUACCCUGGUAGUCCACGCC